rnacentral:lncRNA from 1 species
GGUCUCCUCUUUUAAAGCAGGUUGUGUACAACUUUCAGUACACUGAAGGCAUAAACCUUCCACUCUUGAACAAAGCAGCUGCUUUUUAAAAGCGGUAAUUGCUUCUUUACCUUUUAUUUCUUUUGUAAAUGAAGCUUUUCUUUAAGAAAUGUGACUUUAAAGUGUUGUCUCUUGCAUAAAACAGUUGACACUUACUUAUUGUAAAGUGAAGAUUGUUCUGCUGCAUGUAAAGUGGACCAUGCAGAUUUCUGUAUGUUUUCAGUAUGCAUCAUUAGAUAAUAAAGUCUUUUGUGAACAAGGCAUUUGUAGCCAUUUUUAAAAGAAUCUGUCUUCAGUGAUGGUAAAUCAGGUAAUUCGUAAGAUCCGCCCCUGCAUUUCCUAUUAAUCAUUUAAUUAAAGGGAUUAUUAAACGUUAUGAUCUUUGGGGGAGCUAUAGCCUAUGUUAAUUAGAUCUAUAAUUAUCACUGCUUAAAGAAAAAGGAAGCAAAAACCCCUUACAGAUACUGUCUGUCUGCUUUCAUUGUAAUGAAAUUAUUCCUGUAGGACAUGGGAUUAAAUUCAGGCUUUAACUAAUGUUUGUGCUGUUUUUCUCACUUUUCCUUUUGAUGGUGCUGAAAGAGAAAAAGGAAAGCGAGUCACAGGCCACUCAACGCCUACUCCAUGGGUCUGAUUUGCUGAGACACCAACUUCACCUUCCUAACAAGGUGCAGCUCAAAAGAAGAUGAUGGCUACCAGAAGACAUGAACAAAGGGUAAGUGGCAUUAAACCUCUGAAGAACCUUUGUGUGUGUAUUGACCUGUACGCAAGAAGGCAGACCAGUCUGUGAUACUGCUGGAGAUAGAGCGACCUUCUACAGUACGUGUAACGUUGUGACUCGGGUGGAGGAUGUUGAGAAGUGGCAAUCACUUGACAUAAAUAAAGUACCUGUAAAACUGA